GGGGUGGUUCCAGGGUAUUUCAGGCCCCAUGGGUGGUGCCACAAGCAUGUGACCUUCAGGGCUCAGAGUUGGAGACAGCAGGCGAGCUGGUUAUGCAGGGGAAAGCGGAGGUGUCUUUCUGAAGACUGUUGCUGACCGUUGAGCCGACAUGGACAACCUGAAAGCCCCUGCUGUGGCACACAGGGCGUCAGAAACUGACCUAAAUCUCGAAGGCUGUGGUUCUCACAUUCGUUGCACAUUAAAAUUACCCGAGGAGCUUUUCAAACAUCUCUGUGCCUGAAUUCCACCCCCAGAGAUUUAUUUAACUGUUGGAGAGGGGAUGGGAAGAGGUUAGACCCUCACCAGAUGACAGUGCCAUGCUUUUGGACUUCCCAACCUCCAGAAAUCAAGGACUAAGAGACACCCCUAAGGAAGAAAAGUAGUAGUAGUGGCUUGGAACCAGGACCCACAAUAUCUCCAAGGAUGCCGGUAUAUCCCACUUCAUUUCAAUGACCCACUUACUGAGUUACAUUCCAUACUACAUUAUCAAUGCCUCCAAGUCAGAGACUAUGUCUUACUUUUGUUUGUAUGUCUAGUUGCUAGAAUAGUUCUGAGUGCACAGUAGGUGAUGAGGUUUAUUUUGAUGUUGAACAAAUAUGUACAACCUGCAAAGAUAUUUUUACUCAGUGCUUUAUCCAUUCAGAUUUUGCCCUCAUGAAUCAAAACUGUAGUUAUAAAUAUAAAUAAAUGUAUAAAUGCAUAUAUAUGUGUGUGCAUACAAUCAGUUGGCCCUCCAUAUCUGUGGAUUCCACAUCCUCUGAUUCAACAAACUGGAUAAAAAGUAUUUUUAAAAAUCAAUAAAAAAUACAAGCUAAUAAAAAAUACAGUAUAACAUC
rnacentral:lncRNA from 1 species